GCCGUUGAAGAACAGCGUGAAGAUGGAACCUGCUACUGAGCACAUCAACUCUUAAGUGUGUCCCUGGAAGAUCUACCAUCAACUUCCAGAACUGCAACUGCUAGUACUGUCAGAUGGUGAAUGCUACUCAGGCAAACACCAUUGUUACACCACUUUGAAGGAGAGCCUGGUCAUUUGGUCCCCUCAGCUUCUCCCUUUCUCAGUGAUAUGUUCAUUGUGGCUGGGAGAAUUGUGGGGCACUCUUUCCUUCAUGGAGGACCCUGCUUGUCUGGACUCUGUGAUGUGGUUGUCCAUACUGCUUCGUGGGAGCCCAGACACGGCUACAGUAAACCUGGAGGACUGUGCAGACCUGGACAUUAGAGAAACAAUCAGGCUUCUGGAGGUGGAAUCAAACCUAUCAGCUGAAGAAAUGGGAAGGGUACAGAACGUGGCCUCUUCCUGGGACCUCCCUCCGCUAACCACAACCAACAGGGCCCUUAAUGCUCUGCGGUGAAAAAUGGAGCAACAAGGCUGACCGUGACAUCGGGAGAGCUGAGGCAGAUCAUCUUAAACAUGAUGCACCUGGACGGUCCGGUGGCGGAGACUUCAAGAAUUAAAUAAAAUUACAAUGAAAUGGAUAA